rnacentral:lncRNA from 1 species
GUUCUUGUGACAUUUUGUUCCCUUCCAAGUUUAAUGAAAUAACAAAACCAGACAACCGCUAAGUUACAAGAAAUGUCACACUAUGUCACAUUACAUGAUUUAUUUUGAAUUUUUUCAUUUUACAACCUCUUGACCAGGCCCACCCCCCGGCCAUGGUGUCCUGAGCGGUCUCCCACCCAAAAGGCCGGCCCUACAUGCAUGCGUGCACACUCUCUCUCUCUCUUAAUGCUGCCCAUUGAAUGAAAUGCAAAAUGGGAUUUUACUUGGGUCUAGAAAUGAGAACCUGUGUUUUCCUGGAGAUGAAUUUCUUAUUGUCACUUAACUAUUAAUCCUGAGUUUUGAAAAUGCUGUCAACUUCAGCAAAUGUAGAAAAUCAUUUCCCUAAGCAUGAUACUAGUUCUUCUAUUUGAAUUCACAGUCUGCAAUUUUUCUAACCAUUGAAUCAUCCUGCAGUUAAUAGAGUUUGUGAAAAAGUCACAGUGGGUUGAAUAUAAAAGUGGAAUCUUUGCUGAAGCCAUUUGUACUGCUGUUUAAAAGUGAUUUCAGUACCAGGAAUGGUGAAAUAUCAGACACUGAAAUAACAUCCUCAUUAUAAUCUUCAAUUUGGAUAGAAUUUUGGUGGCUACCAUCUUAAGAAAAAAAAAUCAAGUUGUAGAAAGUAAGUGUACCACCUUGAAAGCCUAACGUCUACAUUUCCAGACAUUAUGAGAUAUUGAUCUCUGUCUUAAGUGGUUUAUGAGACAUCAACUGCUAUAGUCUCAAAGUAAUUGUAAUGAAGGAAGUGAGCAAGAUGGCAAUCUGGAUUAUGUGAUAGGAACAUUCUGAUAUCUCAUAGGCUGUUAGUACCGGAAGUAAAUAUAGUACAACAUUAGAAAGAUGGAGAUGCUGACUAGUUUGAUACCUGCAACUUCAUAGAAUAUACAAGCCUUUUUAUUUAUUUAUUCAUUUUUUUUGCUUUUUUCUCACAGGUGAUCUUCAAAAGAAUCAGGUGGAUCCUUUUGGUUUCCCUGUCCCUUCACAAAAAGUUGGCAAAGCAAUAAAAAGGAAAAAGGAAAAGACUGAAGUCUGCCAUGGAGUAUUAAAAGUAAUUUCAAAAAUGCUUGAAGAAAAUGAACAGUUUAGAACUAGACUCAUGACUUGCAGCGAAUUUAGUGGCGAAGGCAGAGAUGUGAACCAAAACACGCAGAACAAGGCUUGCUGCUUGGAUGUGGUAAGUAGCCUGUUAAACACCAAAUCAAUCUGUUAUAUUUACUAAAAUAAAUUGAAUGUGGAAUAAGUU